GAAGGCGCACAGGAGACUGAAGAGCAGCGCGGCCGGCUGCAGCCAAGGGCUGAGCUGCGCGCCGCCCCCGGGAGCACCUCCCCGAGGGCCCGGGAAGACGCCCCCUCGGGCUCCUUCCUCCUCCUCCUCCUCGGCCGCCGCCUCCUGACUCUUCUCCAGCUCGCCUCCGACCUCCCCGCCGACCAGCCUCACCAGCAGCGCCAGCAGCACGGACAGGGAGCCCGCGCACAGCGCCGAGGAGAGUUGAGGCGAGCGCCGGAGCGGCUGCAGCGCCAGGGCUCUCCAACAACAGCCGGAGCCCCGAGGGGAUGGAGAGGACUCGCCACGGUGGCGGUGGUUCCCUCUUGCCACCCGGGCGGGACUCGCCCCUCCGAGGCCCGGCUUGGCUAGGUCUUGGGCGGCCUCGCCCCGCACUGCCAUGCUCUGCGGACAACCCCCACCCGUCCCACUCGCGCGUCCGCGCUCUUCUCGAGCCCACUCUCGGAAUCACUUCUUCCGGAUCUACGCGAAGUUUCAGCCUUGCAGAGAACUCAAGAGUGCGAGCUGAAGACUUCAAGUUGACAGCUAGCAGGAUCAGCCUUGGAAUUUUCAACCCCCACCCCUCUCCUUUUCUCUUUCUCCCUCUCUCUCUCCCUCUCCCCUCUCCCUCUCUCCUUUCCUUUCUCUCUUAAAAGUCCUCCGCUCCACCCUCAGCCAGAGUUUAUACCCUGCGGGGUCUCUUCCUACUUCGGGAUUUUAACACUUGCUCAACUCACUGAGUGCUCAGGGACCGCUGAUGCUGAACUGAGGCAGGCUGGGGCACUGGGCGAGCUCAGGCCAUCCUUGGGCGUUCAGGGACGGCAGGAAAUAUAGAGUGAGAAGAAUAAAAAGAUGAGAAAGGAAUAGAGAGAUGGCUCAGCAAUCAAGAGCCCCUACUGCUCUUUCAGAGAACCCAAGGAGUUCCCAGCACCCACAUCUGGUGGCACAGAGCCACCUGCAUUUAACUCUAGUUCCAGGGGAUCUGAUGCCCUCAUCUGGACUCCACAGGUAUCUGCACUCAUACAUAUUCACACAUAACAAACAAAAGGACAGACAGACAGAAAGAAAAUUUUUAAGUAAUUUUAAAAGUCUAUCUGGGUGUGCCAGCACAUAUAACCCCGGGAUCUAGAAAGCUGAGACAGGAAAAGUGUUGGGAGUUAGAAGAGCCUGCAAGACAAAUGGAACACUGGAGGAAAGUGUAUCCCUCUCCCCAACUCCAGAGCACAAGUAUCCUUAGUCAACAGUUACUGUUUAUGUGUGGUAAAUUCUACUAUUUGCUAAGCUUCCUCUGUAGAGCUAGGAAGCCCAGCUAGUGACACACACCCACAACAAACAAAAUCCCUCCAUUAUUAAUGAUUUCAUGAUCACAUACCACAGUAUGUGGCAUUUAGAAAACCACGAUGCUAACUUCAUUGGCAGUCUAUGCAAAAGAACUCCGGAUCUGCUCAGUAUAUUCAAAUGACAUCAAAGUGUUGCUGAAAUAAGAAGUGUCAACUCUUGCUCAGCUUGAAUAGUGACUGACUGGGUGUCAUUUGUCUCUCCCAAAUAAUAAUAAACUGAUGUUUGUCUC
ensembl:antisense Gm28523 predicted gene 28523